rnacentral:rRNA from 1 species
CGCUGGCGGCAGGCCUAACACAUGCAAGUCGAACGGUAACAGGAAGCAGCUUGCUGUGGCUUCGCUGACGAGUGGCGGACGGGUGAGUAAUGUCUGGGGAUCUGCCUGAUGGAGGGGGAUAACUACUGGAAACGGUAGCUAAUACCGCAUUUGAACGUCGCAAGACCAAAGAGGGGGACCUUCGGGCCUCUUGCCAUCAGAUGAACCCAGAUGGGAUUAGCUAGUAGGUGGGGUAACGGCUCACCUGUUAGGCGACGAUCCCUAGCUGGUCUGAGAGGAUGACCAGCCACACUGGAACUGAGACACGGUCCAGACUCCUACGGGAGGCAGCAGUGGGGAAAUCUAUUGCACAAUGGGCGCAAGCCUGAUGCAGCCAUGCCGCGUGUAUGAAGAAGGCCUUCGGGUUGUAAAGUACUUUCAGCGAGGAGGAAGGUGCUCGUGAGUUUAAUACGCUCAUCAAUUGACGUUACUCGCAGAAGAAGCACCGGCUAACUCCGUGCCAGCAGCCGCGGUAAUACGGAGGGUGCAAGCAUCGUUAAUCGGAAUUACUGGGCGUAAAGCGCACGCAGGCGGUCUGUCAAGUCGGAUGUGAAAUCCCCGGGCUCAACCUGGGAACUGCAUCCGACCGAACUGGCAGGCUUGAGUCUCGUAGAGGGGGGUAGAAUUCCAGGUGUAGCGGUGAAAUGCGUAGAGAUCUGGAGGAAUACCGGUGGCGAAGGCUUCGGCCCCCUGGACAAAGACUGACGCUCAGGUGCGAAAGCGUGGGGAGCAAACAGGAUUAGAUACCCUGGUAGUCCACGCCGUAAACGAUGUCGUCUACUUGGAGGUUGUUCCCUUGAGGAGUGGCUUCCGGAGCUAACGCGUUAAGUCGACCGCCUGGGGAGUACGGCCGCAAGGUUAAAACUCAAAUUGCGAAUUGACGGGGGCCCGCACAAGCGGUGGAGCAUGUGGUUUAAUUCGAUGCAACGCGAAGAACCUUACCUGGCCUUGACAUCCAGAGAACUUCGAAGCAGAGAUGCUUUGGUGCCUUCGGGAACUCUGAGACAGGUGCUGCAUGGCUGUCGUCAGCUCGUGUUGUGAAAUGUUGGGUUAAGUCCCGCCAUAACGAGCGCAACCCUUAUCCUUUGUUGCCAGCGAUUCGGUCGGGAACUCAAAGGAGACUGCCGGUGAUAAACCGGAGGAAGGUGGGGAUGACGUCGUCAAGUCAUCAUGGCCCUUACGGCCAGGGCUACACACGUGCUACAAUGGCGUAUACAAAGAGAAGCGACCUCGCGAGAGCAAGCGGACCUCGGCAUAAAGUACGUCGUAGUCCGGAUUGGAGUCUGCAACUCGACUCCAUGAAGUCGGAAUCGCUAGUAAUCGUGGAUCAGAAUGCCACGGUGAAUACAACGUUCCCGGGCCUUGUACACACCGCCCGUCACACCAUGGGAGUGGGUUGCAAAAGAAG